rnacentral:rRNA from 1 species
UACGGGGGGGGCAAGCGUUGUUCGGAAUUAUUGGGCGUAAAGCGCGCGCAGGCGGCCUUUUAAGUCUGAUGUGAAAGCCCACGGCUCAACCGUGGAAGGUCAUUGGAAACUGAAAGGCUUGAGUACAGAAGAGGAAAGCGGAAUUCCACGUGUAGCGGUGAAAUGCGUAGAGAUGUGGAGGAACACCAGUGGCGAAGGCGGCUUUCUGGUCUGUAACUGACGCUGAGGCGCGACAGCGUGGGGAGCAAACAGG